rnacentral:rRNA from 1 species
AUUACUCCUACGGGAGGCAGCAGUGGGGAAUAUUGCACAAUGGGCGCAAGCCUGAUGCAGCCAUGCCGCGUGUAUGAAGAAGGCCUUCGGGUUGUAAAGUACUUUCAGCGGGGAGGAAGGUGUUGAGGUUAAUAACCUCAGCAAUUGACGUUACCCGCAGAAGAAGCACCGGCUAACUCCGUGCCAGCAGCCGCGGUAAUAAUC